rnacentral:rRNA from 1 species
AUUGAACGCUGGCGGCAUGCCUUACACAUGCAAGUCGAACGGUAGCGGGCCUUCGGGUGCCGACGAGUGGCGAACGGGUGAGUAAUGUAUCGGAACGUACCUUUCAGUGGGGGAUAACGUAGCGAAAGUUACGCUAAUACCGCAUAUUCUGUGAGCAGGAAAGCAGGGGAUCGCAAGACCUUGCGCUGAUUGAGCGGCCGAUAUCAGAUUAGCUAGUUGGUGAGGUAAAGGCUCACCAAGGCGACGAUCUGUAGCGGGUCUGAGAGGAUGAUCCGCCACACUGGAACUGAGACACGGUCCAGACUCCUACGGGAGGCAGCAGUGGGGAAUUUUGGACAAUGGGGGCAACCCUGAUCCAGCCAUGCCGCGUGAGUGAAGAAGGCCUUCGGGUUGUAAAGCUCUUUCGGCCGGGAAGAAAUCGCAUGGGCUAAUACCCUGUGCGGAUGACGGUACCGGCAUAAGAAGCACCGGCUAACUACGUGCCAGCCGCCGCAGUAAAAC